CAAUAUCGUAAGCAUGUGCUCGCGCCCGUCACUGCACGUGUAUAGAACGCGCCUAUCCGGUUUCAGUGGCUGCCUGAGCUCUCUGGACGUGAUUUGGCCUCGUGUCUCUCGUUACUGCUUCGCUUUCUGACCAUUAACUGUCCACGUACGUCUUACAAGCAGUGGUCAACUCGUGUAAUGGACUAAGGAUCAAUACAUUUUCUUUAAAGUUUGCAUUCCAUAAUCCAGGUCAUAUAAAAACCUUCCAAAAUGGCAGAAGAAGUCGCCCGGAUGUCCACAUCAUCGGCGUCAGACGAAGAUGAGUUUCAUGUUUAUCGUCUUCGAAUCCAUGACGCAAGUCUCGAUGACGCGGGAAAAUGGACGUGUGAAGUUGAAGACAAAUACGGCAAAGUGUCAACAGUUUGUGACGUGGCAAUUCUCGGUCAGUGGUCACGUGAUGUAGCCGUCAAUGACGUAUUCCAGCAUGACAGUUCUCUCCUCAAUGUUGUCAGUGUUUCUAUAUAGUGGAUAUAGUUGCAUGUUGUAAAUCAAACGUUUAAAUCAUCUGGUUCGUUUCCAUUGAAAUGUCCUUUAUAUGUUCCCAAGCAACUCCUCUAUGACUAUAUAUCUGUUUAUAUUCCAAAAACAGUCGCUGUUGCGCGUUUGAUAAAUGCAUAAUAGCACAAUGUGAUAUUCGCGAGUACCAGUAACCGUUCAGUUCACCCUCUGUUGGACGAAUGUUGGAAGGACAGACGUCGCUCAACCUGUAAUCAUAAACAUGUAAAUUUUGUAGUCGGUUUACAAUAAUGCAUGUUUGUUUAGUUAGAUUUUGUAGAUACAUGUAAUCAGAAAGUAAAUAUUGUCCACCACCGACAAUUCACAUUGUCCAAGGUUAACUGACGAAGGUACUCUACUGCCGUAGGAAUCCUUCACGUCCAUGCUUUGUGACAGUCUAGCAUGUUCUAUUAUUUUGUCGUAUCCGCCUCUAGUUACACCUAGCAUGUCACUGGAUCACCAUUAAAGUCUCUUCACCAAUA